CUGUGAACGCCACCUAGGCAACAAAUAAACCAUGCAAGCCAUUUACCUCAGGUCAUUUAUUAGCACAACACACGCAGAUGCUAUCAGUCAACUAUUACAAUAGAAAACGAUUUCGGGAACAAGUUAUUGAGCAGAUCGCCCGUCCAUCCAGCGGGGGAAUAAUCGUCAUGCCAUGCCUGCCGGCGACAAUCUACAUCCAACACGGCUUCAGUCGCUUUCAACUUUGAGCUGUGGUCGUAAAGCAACAAACAAAAACGCAGUAGUUCCCACAGUGUGCCACUCUUAUUCAUUCUUUACUCAAGAUGAUUUAAAUGGAGGCUGUCUGUGUGGGGGUUUGAAGGGCGCUGUCAAAACAAAACAAGGAUACGGAGAUGCUGCGGCGCUUUUCCCCCCCUCUCCGGUAACCGCGGCUGAAGUUGUCGGAUAAGGAAAAAGAGGCAAACCGCUACGGUGGACGGAUAACAUGCAGCAUUCAGCUAAACGCUUUUAUCCCGUCUCCUAUCUUGCUGCACACCCCCCCUCAACAAUGAGGACAUUAACACAUCGGCACAGGUUUACGGAGUCAUACAAAAGCAAUUAGUUUGUCUCCCGAGCCGUCAGCAGCAGUAACGGGUGCGUUUCGCUUUUUUUUUUUUUUUUUUUUUUUUUUUGGUAGCCUGCAUGAGUUAAGCGGACGUGAGUAUCGACAAAUAUCCACUGAAAUGCAGCUUUCGGUAAAGUUAAAUGCAAUAUACGUUAUCUAUUGUUUCUUCUGCAGCGCAAAAAAGCUAUUUCUAUGUGCGUAAUGUGUGUAAACUUGACACAAGCGUGCUGUAACGUUGUCGCCAGAUUCACUAAAAGCGCCUGUCACAACUAAAUGAUGUGAGCAGCUUGCCUGAGAAGGAGCCAAACUUACCUGACUUCAGCUCUUGACCAAAAAAAAGAAACCCGACGACUUUGCUGCUGAGCUGAAACUGCUAAUUUCUGGGACCAGCCUUUUUUUGGCUGUGAACUGGAUGGAUGAAUGGCUUGUCUCGCACAAAUGACAAAAAGCCCCUGCCUUAAUCUCCAUCGCCAAAAUAACCCCUCAUCUCAUUCUGCUCCUGCUAGUCCUUCAAAAGAAGGUUUUUCUACGUGUCUACUUUUUGGAGGAUCGACCCUGAGCCGGACUGCUCAUGAGGAGCCUGUUUAAAGUGAGUGCUGCCUGCUCUGAUGGACCCUGUGCUGAGCUGUGACGGGUGACGGUGCGGUGCGCUUGAAUACACCAGCUCUUUUGUCCUUCACACUCUGCAGCUCUCUGAUAGCUCCUCCCCCUGUGCUCCACUCCUCCCUGCCUUGAGCUGUGAUCUGCUGGGGCCUUUUGAGGCUGGGCUGCUGAGACAUGGCUGCUCCCUGUAAUGUGUGGACCAGACCCAUCAAAAAACAUGUCAGCAGUCAGAGGAGGAGGAACUGAGAAGGAAACCACUUAAUAGCAUUUUCACUGGGUAGUCCCCUGGAAAACCUCUAAUCAAAUCUUAGCAUAUUCUGCCUCCGGCAUAUCUGAUAAAGUCGGUUGAAUUUAAAUGUUAGUGAACAACAAAUUAGGGAUUUUACAGGAAAACGACAGAUUGCAACUAACAAAUUUGUCUGGGUAGUGGUUUGGGAUGCCCUACUUUUAAGGUAGAAAAAGGAUAAAAGUGGUCUAUAAUAUGGUUGCAUGACACCUGGCUCUGCAGUAAUGCUGGACAGGACAUUUCAUAAAGAUUCAUCACUGUCCCUCUGUCCGCUUUGACCUCAUCUCACAUCACAGCACAGAUUAGACACCGAUUAUCCUCUAAUUGAAGAUCCUUACUUCUCAACCUUGCAGAAUAUGCUCCUACUCUUCUGCAACACAGACAGAAGGUUAUUCUACUCCAAAGAAGAACCUGUAACACAAAUUUCUUCCAUUCGGGGUAAUGAACUCACUCUGAAUUAGCCCUAAAAGUCAGAACGCCCCUGUUAAACAGGGAACAAGCUCAAAUGUUAAUGCAAUGUGACCAAACACAAUGUAUUCUGUAUAUAGAGUUAUCUAGACAGGCAGAGCUAGCCUCAGACACAGGGUCACUGCAUAGGCACUCUAGCAGACACAUCAUCCAUCACAUCAGUCUGUGAUCUGAUGAGUGAAUGUAUAGAGUGUAAUGUAAGAGUGGCGUCUUUAACUCCACCAUAGUAGUGAAGCACAAAGCCUUGUUGGAUGUUUUACUGUGGUAUUGCCUGGCUGCCCUUGCUUGGCAAAGAAGACACAAGGCACUAGCCGGAUGAGGCUCAAACAAUGCCAAGCAUAACAGGGAGUUACUGUAGUAUGCAAAAGAAUACGCUACCAUCCGGUAGAAUACCUAGACUGGGAUGAAAGUUGAAUAAAAGGAUUUACCAUUUAAAUGAAUGGUGCCAGUUUGUGCAGUUUUCGACCCUGUUUUACAUGUAUA